GAUGAACGCUGGCGGCGUGCCUAAUACAUGCCAGUCGAGCGAACGGACGAGAAGCUUGCUUCUUUGAUGUUAGCGGCGGACGGGUGAGUAACACGUGGAUAACCUACCUAUAAGACUGGGAUAACUUCGGGAAACCGUAGCUAAUACCGGAUAAUAUUUUGAACCGCAUGGUUCAAAAGUGAAAGACGGUCUUGCUGUCACUUAUAGAUGGAUCCGCGCUGCAUUAGCUAGUUGGUAAGGUAACGGCUUACCAAGGCAACGAUGCAUAGCCGACCUGAGAGGGUGAUCGGCCACACUGGAACUGAGACACGGUCCAGACUCCUACGGGAGGCAGCAGUAGGGAAUCUUCCGCAAUGGGCGAAAGCCUGACGGAGCAACGCCGCGUGAGUGAUGAAGGUCUUCGGAUCGUAAAACUCUGUUAUUAGGGAAGAACAUAUGUGUAAGUAACUGUGCACAUCUUGACGGUACCUAAUCAGAAAGCCACGGCUAACUACGUG
rnacentral:rRNA from 1 species